GAUGAACGCUAGCGGCAGGCCUAAUACAUGCAAGUCGAACGGAUAUAUGUUUUUCGGAAUAUAUAUUAGUGGCGCACGGGUGAGUAACACGUACAUAACUUGCCCUCAAGCGGGGGAUAGCCUUGGGAAACUGAGAGUAAUACCCCAUAGAAUUAUUGGACGGCAUCGUUUGAUAAUUAAAACUACGGUGCUUGGGGAUAGAUGUGCGUCUGAUUAGCUAGUUGGUGAGGUAACUGCUCACCAAGGCGACGAUCAGUAGGGGGCGUGAGAGCGUGGCCCCCCACACGGGUACUGAGACACGGACCCGACCCCUACGGGAGGCAGCAGUAAGGAAUAUUGGUCAAUGGAGGGAACUCUGAACCAGCCAUGCCGCGUGAAGGAUGACGGCCCUCUGGGUUGUAAACUUCUUUUGGAUGGGGCGAAAAAACGGGAUUUAUCCUGGACUGACGGUACCAUCAGAAUAAGCACCGGCUAACUCCGUG
rnacentral:rRNA from 1 species